AUGAGCCAAGUUUAGAAGCUUCUUUAAAGAGCUUCAUAGCAAGAUUAAACUGAAGAGUUUGAUCAUGGCUCAGAUUGAACGCUGGCGGCAGGCUUAACACAUGCAAGUCGAGCGGAAACGAUGGGAGCUUGCUCCCAGGCGUCGAGCGGCGGACGGGUGAGUAAUACUUAGGAAUCUGCCCAGUAGUGGGGGAUAGCUCGGGGAAACUCGAAUUAAUACCGCAUACACCCUACGGGGAAAAGGGGGCGCUUGCGCUCUCGCUAUUGGAUGAGCCUAAGUCGGAUUAGCUAGUUGGUGGGGUAAAGGCCUACCAAGGCGACGAUCUGUAGCUGGUCUGAGAGGAUGAUCAGCCACACCGGGACUGAGACACGGCCCGGACUCCUACGGGAGGCAGCAGUGGGGAAUAUUGGACAAUGGGGGAAACCCUGAUCCAGCCAUGCCGCGUGUGUGAAGAAGGCCUUUUGGUUGUAAAGCACUUUAAGCAGUGAAGAAGACCUAACGGUUAAUACCCGUUAGCGAUGACAUUAGCUGCAGAAUAAGCACCGGCUAACUCUGUGCCAGCAGCCGCGGUAAUACAGAGGGUGCAAGCGUUAAUCGGAAUUACUGGGCGUAAAGCGAGCGUAGGUGGUUUGAUAAGUCAGAUGUGAAAUCCCCGGGCUUAACCUGGGAACUGCAUCUGAUACUGUCAGGCUAGAGUAGGUGAGAGGGAGGUAGAAUUUCAGGUGUAGCGGUGAAAUGCGUAGAGAUCUGAAGGAAUACCGAUGGCGAAGGCAGCCUCCUGGCAUCAUACUGACACUGAGGUUCGAAAGCGUGGGUAGCAAACAGGAUUAGAUACCCUGGUAGUCCACGCCGUAAACGAUGUCUACUAGUCGUUGGGGGACUUGAUCCCUUAGUGACGCAGCUAACGCAAUAAGUAGACCGCCUGGGGAGUACGGCCGCAAGGUUAAAACUCAAAUGAAUUGACGGGGGCCCGCACAAGCGGUGGAGCAUGUGGUUUAAUUCGAUGCAACGCGAAGAACCUUACCUGGUCUUGACAUAUCUAGAAUCCUGCAGAGAUGCGGGAGUGCCUUCGGGAAUUAGAAUACAGGUGCUGCAUGGCUGUCGUCAGCUCGUGUCGUGAGAUGUUGGGUUAAGUCCCGCAACGAGCGCAACCCUUUUCCUUAGUUACCAGCGGUUUGGCCGGGGACUCUAAGGAUACUGCCAGUGACAAACUGGAGGAAGGCGGGGACGACGUCAAGUCAUCAUGGCCCUUACGACCAGGGCUACACACGUGCUACAAUGGUAGGUACAGAGGGCAGCUACACAGCGAUGUGAUGCGAAUCUCAAAAAGCCUAUCGUAGUCCGGAUUGGAGUCUGCAACUCGACUCCAUGAAGUCGGAAUCGCUAGUAAUCGCGGAUCAGAAUGCCGCGGUGAAUACGUUCCCGGGCCUUGUACACACCGCCCGUCACACCAUGGGAGUUGAUUGCACCAGAAGUGGGUAGCCUAACUUUUAGAGGGCGCUCACCACGGUGUGGUCGAUGACUGGGGUGAAGUCGUAACAAGGUAGCCGUAGGGGAACCUGCGGCUGGAUCACCUCCUUAA
rnacentral:rRNA from 1 species